rnacentral:lncRNA from 1 species
UUCCUUUGCAGGCUUAUUAUUUCCUGAAGCUGUGGCUGACAGGUGAUGUGAUCCCUUUUGACUGUUGCAUGCACGUGAAAGGACAGUGGGCUUUGGGGGGAGAAGAAACCCUGCUUUAAGAGAGUACACGUCAGUUGGCCUUCAGCUGUUUGGAGCUGAUUCGAUCUGACAAGUGUUGAAGCUACUCAUCGUAAUGGAUGUCUCUGCUUUAGCAGAGAGGAGGUGAAAAGGAUGUAAUUCCCAGUGAAAGAAAGCAACAUGAACUAUUAUUUAAUUACUGCUUAAUAUAUAACUCACUAGGAGUCCCUGUUGAUUUACAGUUCUAGCUUCUUCUUUUCUUUAUUAAUGGAACAAUCUAGUCUUUUAAUGCGAUGUGAUUGAGCCACACCUGUUAUUGAUAGGGACUUUCCCAAAUGAACAAGGCAAAUAAUCCAUUUUAAUACCCAAGCAUGUAUGAUUCUGAAAUGCUUAAUUUUUUCACAUAUAGAAGUUACUCUUUUCACCCCAC